rnacentral:rRNA from 1 species
GACGAACGCUGGCGGCAUGCCUAAUACAUGCAAGUCGAGCGAACAGAUGAAGUGCUUGCACUUCUGACGUUAGCGGCGAACGGGUGAGUAACACGUAAGGAAUCUACCUAUAAGCGGGGGAUAACAUUCGGAAACGGGUGCUAAUACCGCAUAAUCUCUUCUUCCGCAUGGAAGGAGAUUGAAAGACGGCUCUGCUGUCACUUAUAGAUGACCUUGCGGUGCAUUAGUUAGUUGGUGGGGUAACGGCCUACCAAGGCGAUGAUGCAUAGCCGACCUGAGAGGGUGAUCGGCCACAUUGGGACUGAGACACGGCCCAGACUCCUACGGGAGGCAGCAGUAGGGAAUCUUCCGCAAUGGGCGAAAGCCUGACGGGGCAAUGCCGCGUGAGUGAAGAAGGCCUUCGGGUCGUAAAACUCUGUUAUAAGAGAAGAACAAAUUGUAGAGUAACUGCUACAGUCUUGACGGUAUCUUACCAGAAAGCCACGGCUAACUACGUGCCAGCCGCCGCGGUAA